rnacentral:rRNA from 1 species
UGGGGAAUAUUGCGCAAUGGGCGCAAGCCUGAUGCAGCCAUGCCGCGUGUGUGAAGAAGGCCUUCGGGUUGUAAAGCACUUUCAGCGGGGAGGAAGGCGAUAAGGUUAAUAACCUUGUCGAUUGACGUUACCCGCAGAAGAAGCACCGGCUAACUCCGUGCCAGCAGCCGCGGUAAUACGGAGGGUGCAAGCGUUAAUCGGAAUUACUGGGCGUAAAGCGCACGCAGGCGGUCUGUCAAGUCGGAUGUGAAAUCCCCGGGCUCAACCUGGGAACUGCAUUCGAAACUGGCAGGCUAGGGUCUUGUAGAGGGGGGUAGAAUUCCAGGUGUAGCGGUGAAAUGCGUAGAGAUCUGGAGGAAUACCGGUGGCGAAGGCGGCCCCCUGGACAAAGACUGACGCUCAGGUGCGAAAGCGUGGGGAGCAAACAGG